UUUACGAGGCAACUGGAAAAUGAGCAUAUUCCUGAGUUCUGAAAAAUCACAAUCACAAAACACUGUAGGUUAAGAACUGAUAAUAUUAUGUAUUUUGAGAGAAAUUCUUUUUUAAUAUUUAGAUCCAAAAAUUACUAAUAGACAGUGUUAGAAUCCAGGGACCAUUAGCCAAAAUGUUCAAGAAUAAUUUGUGAAUGUAGAAUGGGUUUAAACUAUUAAGGAUAUUGCAAAAUUAUGUCUUUUUAGUAAAGGCGGAGGACUAGUUUUGGGGGAUAAGGCGGCCACUAUAUAAGUUUGGCGCAAGAUUUCGGCGUCAGAGCUUACCUGACAUCGUUGUUCACAGCCUCUCUAAGCUUCCUGGUGAGCUGCUGUCCCUCCCUCCCCACCCUCCCUGCUAGCCUGGUAUAUAUGCGAUACGGCCGUCAGGGAGAAACAGAAAGUAUCCAAGCCGAGAUGAAGCAGUUCAUAGUAGCCAUCGUGUUCAUCGGGGUGCUGGCCCUGUGCGCGGCCCUUCCUGCACCAGAGCCCCUCCCAGUGGCCCUCCCUGAAGCCCUGCCAGAGCCUCAAUUUCCCGGCUUCCGCGGAAAUAUAUUUAGAGGAGGGUUUGGAGGUCGAGGAGGAGGAGGGAGGUUUGGAGGUCGAGGAGGAGGAAGGUUUGGAGGUCGAGGAAGAGGAGGAUUUGGAUUUCGAGGAGGAAGGUUUGGAGGUGGAAGAAGAAUUUUCGGCUGACAUGGUUUCGGUCACGGCGGUGGUGCUCCCCACGCCCACAUUUCUCUUGGACAAGGCGUCCUCAACCUACUCGUCCACGACCACUAACACUCCCUGAUUGCGACUCUAUAUAGUACUAUGACUCUAUAUAUAAGUCUACCUACCACUGAUUCUUGUCUAUACGUCUGUUUCUAAUGAAUGAAAUAAUGUCUUGAA